CUAUGAAUUAGCUAAAACAAUAUACUGCUGCCAUUAAGAAAGAAAGUAGAGCAUAGCACCUGAAUAUAACACUAGGUGGUAAUUCUAUCUUUUUUUUCCUAUUUUCUCAGCAGGACUGUUCCAUCCUUUGUGAAUUUUUGGCAGUCAAAAUAUCAAGUUCUAAGAAGGAAGAACAAAUUUGAAUAAGGGUCAGCAUGAUUGAGAAACUCAAGAAGAGAAGCUCUAGAGGACACAAGAUGUUUCUGAGCUGAGAACUCACCAGGCUACAUUGCAGGUCUCUGGUUACAUUAGGAUAGACCUCUGUAUGGCAUCAACAGAGAGAUCAUUUUGAAGCAAUUCCCAGACAUCUGAUCAUAUUUGAAGAUGUAGUUAAGGGAAAGUUCCUACAGAGAUCCAGGUGUGAGAUAUUUGGAAGUAAGAAGAGACACUUGUUGGCAGACACUGUAAAGAGAAAAAUAAGGGGAGGAUCAGGACACCCAGGGGAUCCAGAGGCUUGCAGAGCGGAGGGCAUCUGGCAAAGUGGAAAAUGAUUGUAGUCAAGGGAGUCUGCUGGAGACUGUAUGAACAGAAGCAGCUGGAAGUGACCAUGUGAAGUCCAGUCACUCAGUGUUGACAGAAGCAGUGUUAAUGCCCCAACAACAAAGAAGACAGGGAUCAAUUCAACAAAUGACUUGGACUCACAAGGCCACUAAGCUUCAUUCCUGGUAAACAUAAUCUUCUUAUCCAAGGGUAGUUUUUCCUCUGUGAAUCGUCAGACCAGCAGAGAGCCCCAUGCGAAGGAUGAGCUGAACUGUAACUAACUUCAGAAACGGAAACUGGCUAAUGUUUAAUAGCACACUGAGAUAUGUGCACACCUUGCAGAGUUGUCAUUUUUCCUUAGUGCUGCUUGCACUGGUAGAAAUAAAGGUGGUAAUCGUUC
rnacentral:lncRNA from 12 species